UGGGCGUGCCAGAAUUUGAACCCAGGUCC
rnacentral:piRNA from 1 species